CUUCCCCCACUUUGCUCAUCGCUUCUCCUUUGGCUUCUGCGGUUCUGCUUCACGAUUUUUUUGCACUUCUUCUGCUUCACCUCUGCUGCUUCCAGCUUGCUCACUGGCCACUGCUCUACAGCCACCAUUGUAAAGCUUCCUCACUUCCUCUUGUUUAUUUUUUAACCCUAUGUGGUUGUGGUUAUUUUUUUUCUCCAUUAAAUAUAUGUUCUUGCUCUGCUUUUUUUUGUAUUUAGUUAGAUUUUAAUGUUCUUGCUAAACUGUAUUGUCACUUCUGAAUUAUUUGUUAUGCAUUUCUUUGAUUUUGUUGAAAAUUCUAUGCCACUUAAAUGGUUUCAUUGUAGAAAUUAAUUUCUUGGCUAAAAGAGAAAAAAUAUCCCCAAUAAUUUUGACCAAGAAAAAUUCAAAAUUAACUCCAUUUUAACAAUAAAAAGUAUUAGGGAAAGUUGAGUAAUUUUCAUUGGCUAAACUUAUUGAUGUCAUUAUGGAUCGUUUUCUAAAUAUGAAAACUCGUCGAGGACAAUUGUAAAUAGAUGGUGUAUAUAUAUAAUAUUUAUAUUAUUGUUGAAAGUUUUAUGGUUGCAUCAAUUAGUUAUAGUUAUUAUAUUUUUUUCGUUUGAUCGAUUUGUCUAUAUAAAUAAAAAAAAAAUAAUCUGAACCGACGCCCGAGUUGAUCAAAACGAUUAGCUUGGCACCUGGAGCCCCCAAAUCCUGGAUCCGCCCCUGACUAUAAUUGGAAGGACUACAUAAACUACAAACUGUUUAUUUAUUUAUUUAUUUAUUUUUGCUUUUACAUUCUUACUAAUUUGACUUCCUUCCUUAUUCUCUCUGUUGCUUGGAUACCUCUAUACUCAUCGGAUCAAACGUUCGAAGCCAAUUCAGUAAGCCACUAACUUUCACAAGGGAAAGAAGAAAAUUGACAAGAAUUUUCUUUGUUCUGAUUUUUAGGUAUUUCUUGCUAUCCAUGAGUUCUGCACCAUUAACAAUAAUAGUGUUCUAUCAGUUUUUGCAUUUAAUCUAUUAUGCUUUUAUUCUAAAGGUUUUUUGAAUAACUACGGAUCAUAACAAGCAUGGUAUGACAUGUUUUCCCAAAUUCCGAGGACACUAAAAGCUACAUGGUCAGGGGCGGAUCUAUGUAUAUGGUUCAGGAUAUUUUUUCACCCGUAAGUUUCGACAAAAAUUUUAUGUAUACAUGUAUAAGAAAUAGUAUAUAUAUAUUUAAAGUGCCACCCGCAUAAGAAAAGUGGCCAAGGUACUAGUGACAAACAUCCAUCUUUUACUUCCACUGGUUCUGGGUUCGAAUCCAGCCGGCAAUAAGUUUUUUGGCUCCUUCUAUUUAAAAUAAUAAUAAUAAUACUCCUAGAAAGCUCUUUCUGUCACUUUUCCCUUUCCCAAAAAUUAUACCCUUCCCCCACUUUGCUCAUCGCUUCUCCUUUGGCUUCUGCAGUUCUGCUUCACGAUGUUUUGCACUUCUUCUGCUUCACCU
rnacentral:lncRNA from 1 species